rnacentral:rRNA from 1 species
ACGUAGGUUGCGAGCGUUGUCCGGAUUUACUGGGCGUAAAGCGCGCGCAGGCGGAUCCGAAAGUCCACGGUGAAAGCUCCCGGCCCAACUGGGAGAGGCCCGUGGAAACUCCGGAUCUUGAAGGCAGGAGAGGCAAAUGGAAUUUCCGGUGUAGCGGUAAAAUGCGUAGAUACCGGAAGGAACACCAGUGGCGAAGGCGAUUUGCUGGCCUGUUCUUGACGCUCAGGCGCGAAAGCUAGGGGAGCGACCGGGAUUAGAUACCCCGUUAGUCCUAGCCGUAAACAAUGGGCACUAGGUGUUGUCGGUAUCGACCCCGGCAGUGCCGUAGCUAACGCAUUAAGUGCCCCGCCUGGGGAGUACGACCGCAAGGUUA